rnacentral:rRNA from 1 species
AGAAUCUUUCGCAAUGGGGGAAACCCUGACGACGCGACGCCGUGUGCGGGAUGAAGGUCUUCGGAUUGUAAACCGCUGUCACAAGGGAUGAAUGCACAGAUGUUAAUAGCGUCUGUUUUGACAUAACCUUGAAAGGAAGCCCCGGCUAACUCCGUGCCAGCAGCCGCGGUAAUACGGAGGGGGCAAGCGUUGUUCGGAUUUACUGGGCGUAAAGGGUGUGUAGGCGGAUAGAUAAGUGAAACGUGAAAGCCUGCGGCUUAACCGUAGAAUUGCGUUUCAAACUAUCUAUCUUGAGUACAGGGGAAGUAAGUGGAAUUCUCAGUGUAGCGGUGAAAUGCGUAGAUAUUGAGAAGAACACCAGAGGUGAAGACGGCUUACUAUCCUGAUACUGACGCUGAGACACGAAGGCUAGGGGAGCAAAC